GGGACCAAGGAGGGAAUGAGUGAAGAGGAGCAGGGCUCAGGCACUACCACAGGCUGCGGGCUGCCCAGCCCGUAGAGCAAAUGCUGGCUGCCAACCCAGGCAAGACCCCGAUCAGUCUUAUUCAGGAGAAUAGGAAAGACGCCCGUGUACGACCUUCUCAAAGCCGAGGGCCAAGCCCAUCAGCCUAAUUUCACCUUCCGGGUCACCGUUGGCGACACCAGCUGCACUGGUCAGGGCCCCAGCAAGAAGGCAGCCAAGCACAAGGCAGCUGAGGUGGCCCUCAAACACCUCAAAGGGGGGAGCAUGCUGGAGCCAGCCCUGGAGGAAAGCAGUUCUUUUUCUCUUCUAGAUCCCUCACCGCUUGAGGACGCACCUGUCAUUGCUGCAGAAGUUGUCGCUCCUGUUCCAUCUGCUCUACUAACCAGGAGCCCUUCCAUGGAGAUGCAGCCCCAUGUCUCCCCACAGCAGUGCUCUGCUGGUGCUCUGCAGGAGCUCGUGGUACAAAAAGGCUGGCGUUUGCCAGAGUACAUGGUGACCCAGGAGUCUGGGCCUGCUCACCGUAAAGAAUUCACCGUGACCUGCCGGGUGGAACGCUUCGUUGAGAUUGGCAGUGGCACGUCCAAAAAGCUGGCAAAACGUAACGCAGCUGCUAAAAUGCUUCGAGUGCACACAGUUCCUCUGGAUGCCCGGGAUGGCAACGAGGCAGAACCUGAUGACGAUCACUUCUCCAUUGGCGUGAGCUCCCGCCUGGAUGGGCUUCGGAACCGGGGGCCAGGCUGCACCUGGGAUUCCCUGCGCAAUUCUGUGGGAGAAGAUUCUGUCCCUUUGUAGCUGCUCUGUGGGCUCUCUAGGGACUCUGGGCUCUGCCUGCUGCAGUGUCCUCAAUGAGCUCUCUGAGGAGCAGGCUUUCCAUGUCAGCUACCUGGACAUUGAAGAACUGAGCUUGAGUGGGCUCUGCCAGUGCCUAGUGGAGCUGUCCACCCAGACAGCCACUGUGUGUCAUGGUUCUGCAACUACCAGGAAGGCAGCCCAAGGUGAGGCUGCUCGCUGCUCCCUUCAGUACCUCAGGAUCAUGGCAGGUAGCAAGUAGUACCCUGGCUGCAGUGAUGGAUGUGCACCUUUUACCUCUUGCUGCUCCUGACCCUGGCCUCAUGCAUCAGCAUAGCUCUGGAACCCUCCAGCCAUCUCUACCUCUGGCACAGAUUGCCUGCCUUGAGACUGAGGAAGGCAUAGGCAAGCGAGGGCCCCAGCCAGCACAGGAUUUGCUCUAAUUCUAUGGAUGACAAAUGAAAAGUAAAUUGGAAUUCUAAUGGAUUCUAGAAUAAAUGCUGC